rnacentral:rRNA from 1 species
UACGUAAGUGGCGAGCGUUGUCCGGAAUUACUGGGCGUAAAGGACAGGUAGGCGGCUUCGUAAGUCUGAGGUGAAAUCUCUGGGCUUAACCCAGAAACUGCCUUGGAAACUGCGAAGCUAGAGGUCCGGAGAGGGAAGUGGAAUUCCGGGUGUAGCGGUGAAAUGCGUAGAUAUCCGGGAGAACACCAAUGGCGAAGGCAGCUUCCUGGCCGGAACCUGACGCUCAACUGUGAAAGCUGGGGGAGCGAACGGG